CUACGGGAGGCUGCAGUGGGGAAUAUUGGACAAUGGGCGAAAGCCUGAUCCAGCCAUGCCGCGUGUGUGAAGAAGGCCUUCGGGUUGUAAAGCACUUUCAGUGGGGAAGAAAGCCUUGGGGCUAAUACCCUCGAGGAAGGACAUCACCCACAGAAGAAGCACCGGCUAACUCCGUGCCAGCAGCCGCGGUAAUACGGAGGGUGCGAGCGUUAAUCGGAAUUACUGGGCGUAAAGCGCGCGUAGGCGGUCUGAUAAGCCGGUUGUGAAAGCCCCGGGCUCAACCUGGGAACGGCAUCCGGAACUGUCAGACUAGAGUGCAGGAGAGGAAGGUAGAAUUCCCGGUGUAGCGGUGAAAUGCGUAGAGAUCGGGAGGAAUACCAGUGGCGAAGGCGGCCUUCUGGACUGACACUGACGCUGAGGUGCGAAAGCGUGGGUAGCAAACAGGAUUAGAUACCCCGGUAGUC
rnacentral:rRNA from 1 species